CGCGGGAUGGAGCAGUUCGGUAGCUCGUCGGGCUCAUAACCCGAAGGUUGGUGGUUCAAAUCCGCCUCCCGCAA
rnacentral:tRNA from 2 species